GACGAACGCUGGCGGCGUGCUUAACACAUGCAAGUCGAACGGAAAGGCCCCUUCGGGGGUACUCGAGUGGCGAACGGGUGAGUAACACGUGAGUAACCUGCCCUUGACUUCGGGAUAACUUCAGGAAACUGGGGCUAAUACCGGAUAGGAAUCCUUGCUGCAUGGUGGGGGUUGGAAAGCUUCGGCGGUUUUGGAUGGACUCGCGGCUUAUCAGCUUGUUGGUGGGGUAGUGGCUUACCAAGGCUUUGACGGGUAGCCGGCCUGAGAGGGCGACCGGCCACAUUGGGACUGAGAUACGGCCCAGACUCCUACGGGAGGCAGCAGUGGGGAAUAUUGCACAAUGGGCGGAAGCCUGAUGCAGCAACGCCGCGUGCGGGAUGACGGCCUUCGGGUUGUAAACCGCUUUCAGCAGGGGCGAAGCUUGUGGUGACGGUACCUGCAGAAGAAGCACCGGCUAACUGCGUG
rnacentral:rRNA from 1 species